rnacentral:tRNA from 2 species
GUAGUCGUGGCCGAGUGGUAAGGUGAUCGACUAGAAAUCCAUUGGGGUCUCCCCACGCAGGUUCGAAUCCUGCCGACUACG